rnacentral:rRNA from 1 species
GUCCCUGGCCAUGCCACCCUGAACACACGAAAUCUCAUCUGAUCUUGGAAGCUAAGCAGGGCUGGGCCUGGUUAAUACUUUGAUAGGACACUGUGCUAGCUAAUUACUGCUUGGCUAUCGCCC